UCUCUGUGACAUUACCAACUGCCCUCUCAACUGACUCAACUGCUCAGAAAUUUCUGGUGGGAGCAAAAGGGGUUGAUUUCUGCCAUCCCUGGAGCUGUUCCUAUCACUGAAUGAGAGAGAGGAGCUGCUUCCUUCUCGUCUCUGCUUUCCUCUGCCGGGGUUAGCAGAAAGGUUGAUCUCCAGAUGAUGCAGUUAAAGGCUUCAAGGACACCAGCAGGCAUUUCUCUCCUGGGCGCCUUCAGCAUCGUGCCAGGUGCAGGAUAAAGAUCAUGAUGGAAGGCAAGGGGCUUCUCUUCUGUGCUGUGAACCAUUUCAUCAAGUGGACCAUGAAAGAUUUGGGGGCACAAGUGGUCUUGUCUUCUGUCUACCCAGAGGAAGGUCAAUCAAGAAAGGUCUGGAUUCUUGAACCAUGGCCCAGGCUACCUGCAUGGAGGACUCCUGGAGGGGGUGCACUUCAUGAAGACUGGGGGAAAUGGGCUGGGCAAGAGCAUUAGUUGAUGCUUCAGAAGUGGGGGUAACCCUGGGGGAAAGUGGCUGUGCCAUCUUAGAAUUCACAAAAUCAAAGGGAGGAGACACUUCAAGGAACCAGAGGUGCACCUUGGAUUUCAGGCAAGCUGACUUGAAUAAACUCAGAGGAGCGCCAGAUAGGAUUCCAAAACUAGACGUCCUAAAGGCAAACCUUGACAUAGACUCUGAGGGGUUCGCUGAUGAGGAGGACCCCGAUGCAAUCCUCAAAAGGGCUUUGGAUAAGACACCCUUGAAUCACAUCAUGAAGGAACCCAAGCCAUCAACCUCCUGGGAUCUCCCCACAUCUCUGCACCUUGUGACAGACCUGCCCCACCCCCAGGAGGGUUCAGCUUGUGGGGCAAGGACAGGUCCCCAUUUGGCCAGCAGAGAGGCACCACCAUCCCUGUCAGAUCCCCAAGAGUGACAACACUACUGGGCACAAGCCAAUCUGCAACAACAGAGAAUAAGCACUCAACUGAGAGCUCAGGAGAGACUUACUUGUGAGGAAGGGAUCUCCUCCAGAAGAACAUUAGAGCCUGAACCAGCUGCACCUAAUAAGGGCUGAAGAGACUAGCUACAGGGUGGAGACCUACAGGCCCCUAUUUAAGCCCUGCUGAAUCACAAUAUGGCCCUUGGUACAAUGGCAUGUUUAGCUGUUUUCUAAUGCCUGUAUCUCUGUCUGUUUAGUAUCCAGGCUCUGCUGGUCUCUUUCCCGGGGCCUUUGUAUCCUUCUCUUAUUCCUUUCUGCAGAAGUUCUCUGGUCCUUGUCCAAACUGUAUUCCUGUCCUCUUCUUAGGCCUGAUCUCCACUUGGCCUAGCAGCCUUCCCUGAGCUGGGCCUGUGCUGUGAGUUGCUGACUGAACAUUGUGUAACCUAGUGAAGGCAGGACACUGGGGCUGUUGGAAAAAAACUAAAGAGGUUUUGGAAAUACUUAAGGAACAAGAAAUAAAAGUGCUGAGAAGGAAGAGUGGGAAUCAGAAAAGAAUGAAGGCAAGGAAAGCAAUGGCAAAUCCUGAGAGUUGCGUCUUCUAAUUCAUACUACACUCCUAUAAGUGUUGAACCUCUUGAAUGUGCCUUCUCAGAAGAUGGAGAGGUAAGUCCGACUCCUACCACAUCCACAGGCGGGACUCUCGGAGCUACAUAGGAAAAGACAGCAGUCCAGAGAUAUCAAAGGUGUUGGGAAAGGAGCAUAUUUCCCCUCUGUUGCUGCUGAGGGCAGCACUGAAGGGCUGCCGAUACGAGGACGCAGUUUUAGGCUAGGCAGUAGGAAUGCUUUCCCAAAUGGGAGAAGGGUUGCCGAGGUCACCUCAGGGAGUCCUGGGCUCCUCUUUGCUGAUGGUUUUCAAACAGAAGCCAGAUAACGAUGAUCUCCACGGAACCUUCCCACUCUAAAAUGCCAUGAUUCUGCUGUGCUCCUCACAUUGAGCCUGCAAGGGAUCUGCAAGUGCCCCCCUGACACCCAGCCUGAUUCUAUUUGCUCCCCAAGUUGACUGCAGUUAUGAGGAAGCAAAUUUAGGCUAAGCAUGGAGAAUAAUUUCCCAUGGGAGAAAUGUCUUGCAGAGGCACACAGCCCUAGGCACACACAACCAUCCCAAGUACAGCUAUACAUAGUAUAGAGCCACAUGCGCGCGCACACACACACACACACACACACACACACACACACCUGUGAACACUUGGUUGUGCCAAUAAUGAGUAAAGAGGGACCAGUGAUGAAUGGAUUGACUUUCUGGUUGGCUCCCUUCCCUUGUCCUUCGGUUAGCUGGGAAUGAUGGGAGUGAGAGUCCAACAGCAUCUGGGAGCAGCUUUAAGAAUCUGUUGGCUUCCCAGAGGCAUCCAGUGAGCCACUAUGGGGAAACAGCAUGCUGGAUUAGAUAGGCCUUGGGCCUGAUCCAGCAGGGCUGUUUGGUUCUUAACAGUCAGGUAUGAUGGGAGUUGUAGUCCAACCUCUAUUUCCAGUCAUUCUCUUUAGCCUGACCUACUUUACAGGACUAUUGUGAGGAUAAAGGAAUUGCAUACUCGGCGGUCCUGGCAGGAAGGGCAGAUAUAAAUUCCAGAAGCCAGGGGUUCUUCAAAUCGGGUCCCCAGAUGUUUUGGGACUAGAAUUCCCAUCUUCCUUGGCUACAAACCCUUGCAGGGGCAUUGCAUGUCUUGUUGAUAAAAGGGGAAUCAUGGCAUGUUUGGACUGGAAGGGUCCUUGUAAGAGCCCAGAAAGGUCAGAAGUGCUGAGACUUCCCAGUGAUUAUUGCUGGGCAAUCACUGUGUUGGUUUGCAUGUCUUUAUGCUAACAUAUAUCCUUUCACAUACAAAUGAAGCUUCCUCCCAGAUGUUGCUUUGUACCCUGAAGCGAUACAAUUCAAAUGUUAGUAGUCACUGAGAUAGUCUUGGGGUGAGAAUGUCCUCAAGCCAGAUUCAUUCUUUUAGCAAUUCUAAUCUACUGUACAGGAAGAAGAUGUGGGGGGUGGGGGGGUCAUCUUGGAGAAGAUGGUUUUCCAGGAGACCCUGGCAAUGGAUUUGGGAAUGUCCUCCAGAGGUCUUAAUUGUGGGCAUGUCAGGGGAGCAAAGAGGCAAGGCCGAAGAGAUUGGCCACAUCCUAGUUCCAAGAAAAGGGAGCAGAGACUGGGAAGCUGGAAUUGCAGUUCUGAGGAGUUGUGUGCAGGGCUGGAGCAGAAGGAGAGCUGGGCCACGCCUGGAUGGAUGGGGAACUUGGGAGGAAAGUAUAGGAGUGAAGGUGGGGAAUCCUACUGGAUUCCAGGGGGCAUUGGUGCUCAGCUUAUAUUUAUGAAUAACACAAAUAUUUUAAAGUUGAUGUUUAUGCUUCAUUUUAAAAUUAUUUAUAUAUUUGAUAUAGAAAGCACUCUUGGUUAAAAAAAAAAUGCAGGGUUGUGUACAGCCCAUAAGAUCCCUCUGCUACCUCUUGCUUUCUCCCACAAUGAGCUCAAGAGAACUUUCCAUAGAGAUCUUUUACCACAGACCUCACGUUUGCAUGUUGCUUCUGCUUCCUUGCUGUAGCUGACUUUUUAAAAAUGGGGCUGGGAAGGGAUAGCUAUUCACAACAAUUAGCCAAGAAGAUAAGGAUGGUCCACCUGAAGCUCAGCAGCUGCUGUUGGACUAGAAGAGCAUCAUCUCCAGCUGCUCUGUGGGGCUCCCAUCACCACCAUCAAAAAAUGUUGGCCGCGCGUUCCUGGAGGACCGGCCGCGCGUUCCUGGAGGACCGGCCGCGCGUUCCUGGAGGACCGGCCGCGCGUUCCUGGAGGACCGGCCGCGCGUUCCUGGAGGACCGGCCGCGCGUUCCUGGAGG